GGCACUGUUCAUUGUUGUGUAUGGCCUGCUCCCAAUUGGUAGGAGCCUAUUCUAUCAUUCGUUUUCCGUUCGCUAACCUAACGACUCGACCUCGCCGUUGCUACCUUACUUUCCGGCCAAAUUCUUCCACUUGGAAUCUAUAACUUGGAAUUUGAGGAGAGGAGAUGUGUCAUCAGAAUUGUUGUCUGCAUUUGUCAGUAGAUGAGGAAAUUGCAGCUGAUGAAAGCCUCCUCAUUUAUUGCAAGCCUGUUGAACUUUACAAUAUUCUUCACCGCCGUGCUCAAUACAAUCCUUCUUUUCUUCGAAGAUGUUUGCGUUACAAAAUGAAAGCAGGGCGAAAAAGGAGGUUGGCAGCUGGAGUUGUAAUUUUCAACUACAGGGAUUACAAUAACAAACUUCAAAAGACUGAAGUCACUGAAGACUUCUCCUGUCCAUUUUGCUUGAUGAUGUGUGUGAGCUUUAAGGGUCUGCGGUACCAUUUAUGCUCUUCACAUGAUCUAUUCAACUUUGAGUUCUGGGUGAGUGAAGAGUGCCAAGCAGUGAAUGUCUCGGUGAAAAUCGACAGAUUCUUAUCAGAGACUGUUGCAGAUGGAGUAGAGCAACGACAGCAGACAUUCUUCUUCUGGUUGAUUUCAGAUCUCUAAGUACAGUUUCCAUUUUCUGGUUACUGUCCAUCUUUCUGCUAGUAGAAGUAGUGGGAUUUCAAAAGGUUAAACAAAUUGUAUGUGCAGCUCCAGGCCACGAAGGCAAAAAUCAAGAAACCAUGAUCAAAAUGAAAAGCAAGUUUGUGUGCAGUUAUUGGAGUUGGAUUCUCCAAAACUACUCAUGGAAGGCAUAAACAAGGGAUUUUUGAGGAAGGAUGGUGGUGAGAAUGCUUCCAAGUCAUCUUCCAGUGAGAAGGAUUUGCACAACUCAAAGCAUAGGGCAGAAAACUAUGGUACUGAAUAUCCUAGCGCAACAGAGUUAUUGGAACGUGUUGCAUCAAGUUUUAAUAUCCAGAAUGUUUCAAUUUCAAAGGCUCAAUACUCUGAGUGUGUUAAAUCACAAUCUGGAAGUGAUCCCUCACUGCCUGCUGGGAUCCAUAUUGCAAAAGCAAGGAAGUUAACUGAGGAUCGGUCAGAUAGAAAGUAUGUUCGCCAAUGCUGUCAUUCCUAGUUUAUUUCAAUAUUAUUCCAGUGACUUUUGAACCUUUUUGUUGUUUUCGUUGUACUUCUUUUUACUUCCAAAACCUUCGUACUAGCAUUGAACGGCUUUCAUGUUGCUUUUCAAAGUAGAAGAAAGUAUGUGCUUACUAACCAGCGUGCAUGCAUUUCAACUAAGUAAUUUUUGUUGAAAUGGUGGCAUAAUGCCUCUUCUAACCUCUGAGGGUCAGUUAUGCCUAUCCUUCUAGGCAAUUUGAUAUGGAUAGAAUUUUUAGUGCUCUUGAAUUGCAUUUUUUUAAAACUUGACACUGUGGUGCUGUCAAUUUGAACCAGCAUUUUUGUCAAUGCAAUUGUUGAUGUUUAUGCAUAUGACAGUAUUUUUUUUUUCUACCAAGAGAUUUUCCUUUUAAAUGAUGCUGUCUCAUCUCAUUAUCUUUCUUUGUCAUUCUUGAUGUUUUCUUUUGUACAGAUUGUUUUACCUGCACAGUGCACAGCACUCAUAUAUGAAACUCAGAUGGCCUUACAGUGUUUUAGCUCUUAGGAUGUACUCAUGUAGUAGAAAGAGUAGUUUUCUUUCUGUCCUUCAUGAAUUCAAAAAUUACAAUGAGUGUUAUUUUCCUUAACUUUGUCAACUUAUGGAUGCUAAAUGAUUAUCUUUUCCUAACUUUAUCUUUCCAGCCGUGCACUCCUGCAGAAAAGACAGUUCUAUCACUCUCAUAGAGUUCAGGUGAUUAAUUGGUCUAGUUAGAAAGUUUUGUUUUCUCAUCUAUUUGUUGCAUGAGGUGUUUGAUCCAUUGGUUGCCUGGAUGAUCAUCAGUUCUUGCACUGCUAAAUUUGAACAUUUAAGCCGUUCAUGGUAAAUGAAAAUUUCAUAAAUAGGAUCUGUUUUAGUCAUGCCAAAAAUUUGAGGGUAUCUUACUGUGAUGAUUCCCAUCAGAGAGAUACAUGUAUAUGAUUCAGAUGAUAUGUGGCCUUUUUUUGCAUUGAACAUGAUAAUUAAUAUAUUUUCAUAACCAACUUUCUCCAUCCUUUUUCCUUCUUUUUCUUGAAGUCGUGUCCUUCAUGCGAUUUUCCUAGCAUGUUGAUUCUAUUCAACGAAACACUUUUGCCAGUUAAAAAGAAAAGGCAAAAAUAAAAUAAGGUCAGCUCUAAAUUGAAAGCCUUAUCUGGAUGAUCUUGUGCAAAUGAAUGCUUAUUAUUGCUUAAAUUUUCAAUUUGCAUUUUUUGUGCAUACGUUUCUUCUUUAGUGAUAAUUGACUUUCUCAACUGACUUAAGUUUUUUUCACUAUUUUACAAUUUAUUUUUGUACAUGAAGCCUAUGGCACUAGAGCAAGUAUUGUCAGAUCGAGAUAGUGAAGAUGAAUUCAAUUAUAAUAUUGCAGAUUUUGAGGAUAGAAGGGUAUGCUCAUGCUUUUGCAUAUUUGUUUUGCUUCUCUUUCUGAGUUACGAUUCUGAUUACAGUAAUGGAACAUACUUUUUCUUUCAUAUUUUACAGAAUUUGUUUAUUAACUAUUUGGUUAUUAUAGUCUUGCUGAAGCAAGACGUUAUUUGCCUUUUGCCCCCCUCUAAUGGUAAAAUGUGGAACAACUUGAUUGCGUGCACAUUCAUUGUUGGUUAACUUUCUACAAGACAAAAGCUUGAUUAGGCAUAAGCAUCUCUAACUUCCAUGAGCAUGCAAGCUAAGAUUGACAGUUUGCAGUAAUUAUUAAGUAAUAAAAACUGAGAUAUAUAUGUGUACUUGAAUUGUUAUGAUUUAUGGCUAACAAAUUUGCAAGCAAUGUUCAGAAAAUGUGCUUUUCACUUUUCAAAUUUUUUUUUUCAAAAUUGCUUUUCAAGUUGGAUUCAUUAUAUAUGGUCAUUCUCGCAAUAGUUUAUAAGGCCCAUCAUUAUGAGAUAUCCCUCUCAUAAGACGCUCAUUAAUUGUUGGAAAACUUGAACAUGGUCAACUCGAAUUAAACUCGACUUUCACAUGCUUUUAUAGAUGGCGACUAAAAUUUAUUUUAGCUUGAUUUAUACAUUUUUUUCAUGUGUCUUCUGCAUCCCAUCCAAGCAUAGUCUGCUUUCCAAUAUGAGAUGUUUUCAAUCUAACUAUUCAGAGCGGAGAGGAUAACACUGAACUGAUGUGUUUUAGAUGCUUGAUGACUUUGUGGAUGUUAGCAAAUGUGAGAAGCAAGUUAUGCAUCUUUGGAACUCAUUUGUGAGAGGGCAAAGGGUGCUAGCAGAUGGUCAUGUAGCAUGGGCAUGCGAGGCAUUUUCAAAACUUCAUGUACAGGAGCUGGUUGGAUCUCCAGCUCUCUUUUGGUACUGUUCCUGAAUUUUUUUUCCCCUUUUUUUUCUGAACACUGCUUCAUUUUUUUAUUUUAUGUUAACAAUUACGUACGCUUACAAAUUGUUUCGGUAGAAUUAUAAUCCUGCUGGGCGAAACCAAAGUCUCACUGGCAAGCUUCUUCUUUAAUCAAUUCUAGUGUUCCCUAAUUUCUUGAAUUAGAAAUGAUUACACGUUUUCAGUAUCUUUACAUAUUUAUCAUGACCCAUCAAAUGCUCACGGACUCAGGUGCUGGAGGAUAUUCAUGAUCAAGCUUUGGAAUCAUGGUCUUCUCGAUGCAAACACAAUGAACAACUGUAACAUGAUCCUGGACAGAUGCAGAAAUGAAGGAUCGGAAGCAAUGAAAACCGAAAGAGGAGUUGAUUAAUGACGUGAUCUUGGAAAUAUACAGAUGACAGGAUAUAUGACAUUGAUUUUCUGCUGUUUUAACCCAUUCUUUACAUAUCUCAACCAACUACUCCUAAUGAUUGAGCCAUAGUUGGAAUAUUAACAUUCUUUCCUGUACAAUGGAUUGUCAUUGGGGCUCCUUUGUAAUUUAUGGGGAUAGAACCUUACAGUAAUCUCAUUCAAUCCAAGCCCGCC
rnacentral:misc_RNA from 1 species